AUUCGAGGAGGUAGUGACUAUCAAUAACGAGACAGAUCUCUUUGAGGUCUGUCAUUGCAAUGAGCACAACUUAAAGACUUUAACGAAGUCUAUGGGAGGGCAAGUCUGGUGCCAGCAGCCGCGGUAAUUCCAGCUCCCAACGUGUAUAUCGUCAUUGCUGCGGUUAAAAAGCUCGUAGUUGGAUCUUAGCUCAUGUCGGUAGUUCUCCAUGUGAGAUACUGCUCGGCUGAGCUGUUUCGCCGGUUUUCCGUAGUUUCGGCUGCGGUGACUGGUGUUGUAACUUUGAUUAAAUCAAUGUGAUUAAAACAGGCGUUUGCUUGAAUGCUUUAUCAUGGAAUAAUAGAAUAUGACUUCGGUCCAUUCUGUUGGUCUUGGGAUCGAAGUAAUGAUUAAAAGGAACAACUCGGGGGCAUCCGUAUCGCUGCGUGAGAGGUGAAAUUCUUGGACCGCAGCGAGACGACCUAUUGCGAAAGCAUUUGCCAAGAAUGUUUUCAUUAA
rnacentral:rRNA from 1 species